rnacentral:tRNA from 1 species
AAGGUUUUAAGUUAAAAAAACUAUUAGCCUUCAAAGCUAAAAAUAAAAUUUUAUUUUUAAACCUUA